rnacentral:lncRNA from 1 species
CAUAAUAGGGGAAGUUGAUGAAGAUGGCGAGAAUAGUUUGGAUGGGACUCCUGCAAGGUACCAUGGAUUUUCAUCUGUCUUUUUUUUGGUACUACAUACAUUCAAGUAAUCCUCAAGUUUCUGUGGUAUCUAAGUUUUGUUUAAAUCAGAAAAAUAGUUUACUUUCGGAUUUUUUACUUAUAGAUCGAUACAUACUGAUAGAUAACAAAUGAAUUGUAGAACUGUGUUGAAGUAAAGUCGGUGUAGGCAGAAUUAAUAACUUGUUUGAGGAGUUUAAUGGAGACUAACUUUUGUGCUCUUAGCAGGAAAAAGAGGAAACCUGAAGAAUUGAGUUCCAAUGGCCUUUCGAAGAAGAAGAACAAGAAGAAUAAGGUCAAAACAACGUCAUAAGUCUGAUCUGAUUUCUCUCUCUCUCUCUCUUUUGUUCUUCAUGUUUUGUGUAUUUCACUUUGUACUCUGUAUUUCAAUUCAUGGGCUCAGUUUUGAUAUUAUUUAACGAUGAUAAGA